UGUGUGUGUGUGUGUGUGUGUGUGUGUGUGUGAUGCGAGCGAUGAUUGACAGAACAGACGGAAGGUGGGCCGGACCCCGCCCUUGAUCAUUAACCCCUUUAUGACCAGACCCAGUGCUGUCAUGUUGCUUAGCAACCCUCGCUGAUCCCGGAGCCUGAGUCAGGCCAGCAUCUCCGAAUGACACGGACCGGACCGCGAUUGAACGCUCGAAGCUUCCAGAGUCUGUUUUCAGGGGACGAUUUUCAGCUUUUGUUGUUUCCUCUCUCUAAAUACCCUUUCAACCCCAGAAGCAGUUUUCAGCUCAACAUAUGGUGAUCUGUCUCCAAGUGCUGCUGCAAUUGUAGAGAAUGUAGCCAAAAGAGAAAUAAACAUUUUUGAAAAUA